AUGGCUGCCGAGAUGGGAAAAGGCUCCUUCAAGUAUGCCUGGGUCUUGGACAAACUGAAAGCUGAGUGUGAGCGUGGUAUCACUAUUGACAUCUCCCUGUGGAAGUUUGAUACCAGCAAGUACUAUGUGACUAUCAUUGAUGCCCCAGGACACAGAGACUUCAUCAAAAACAUGAUUACAGGCACAUCACAGGCUGACUGUGCUGUCCUGAUUGUUGCUGCUGGUGUUGGUGAAUUUGAAGCUGGUAUUUCCAAGAAUGGGCAGACCCGUGAGCAUGUACUUCUGGCUUACACCCUGGGUGUGAAACAGCUAAUUGUUGGUGUCAACAAAAUGGAUUCCACUGAGCCACCCUACAGCCAGAAGAGAUACGAGGAAAUUGUUAAGCAAGUCAGCACCUACAUUAAGAAAAUUGGCUACAACCCUGACACAGUAGCAUUUGUGCCAAUGUCUGGUUGGAAUGGUGACAACAUGCUGAAGCCAAGUGCUAAUAUGCCUUGGUUCAAGGGAUGAAAGAUCACUCACAAAGAUGGUAGUUCCAGUGGGACCACCCUGUUGGAAGCUUUGGACUGUGUCCUGCCACCAACUCAUCCAACUGAUAAGCCUCUGUGACUGCCCCUCCAGGAUGUCUAUAAAAGUGGUGGUAUUGGGACUGUCCCUGUGGGCUGAGUGGAGACCGGUGUUCUAAAACCUGGAAUGGUGGUGACCUUUGUUCCAGUUAACGUGACAACAGAAGUAAAGUCUGUUGAAAUGCAUCAUGAAGCUUUGAGUGAAGCGCUUCUAGGGGACAACGUGGGCUUCAGUGUGAAGAACGUAUCUGUCAAAGACGUUAGAUGUGGCAACGUGGCUGGUGACAGCAAAAAUGACCCACCAAAGGAAACUGCUGACUUCACUGCUCAGGUGAUUAUCCUGAACCACCCAGGCCAAAUUAUUGCUGGCUAUGCUCCUGUACUAGAUUGUCACACAGCUCACAUAGCAUGCAAGUUUGCUGAGCUUAAAGAAAAGCUGGAAGAUGGCCCUAAAUUCUUGAAAUCUGGUGAUUCAGCCAUUGUUGAUAUGGUUCCUGGCAGGCCCAUGUGUGUUGAGACUCUGACUAUCCUCCACUGGGUCAUUUUGCUGUUCGUGACAUGUGGCAGACAGUUGCUGUGGGUCUCAUCAAAGCUGUGGACAAGAAGGCUGCUGGAGCUGGCAAGAUCACCAAGUCUGCCCAGAAAGCUCAGAAGGUUAAAUGAAUAUUACCCC